rnacentral:rRNA from 1 species
UACGUAGGUGGCAAGCGUUGUCCGGAAUUAUUGGGCGUAAAGCGCGCGCAGGCGGUCCUUUAAGUCUGAUGUGAAAGCCCACGGCUCAACCGUGGAGGGUCAUUGGAAACUGGGGGACUUGAGUGCAGGAGAGAAGAGUGGAAUUCCACGUGUAGCGGUGAAAUGCGUAGAGAUCCGGAGGAACACCAGUGGCGAAGGCGACACGCUGGGCCGUACCUGACGCUAAAGCGCGACAGCAUGGGGAGCGAACGGG